AGUGAACGCUGGCGGUAGGCCUAACACAUGCAAGUCGAACGGCAGCACAGGAGAGCUUGCUCUCUGGGUGGCGAGUGGCGGACGGGUGAGGAAUACAUCGGAAUCUACUCUGUCGUGGGGGAUAACGUAGGGAAACUUACGCUAAUACCGCAUACGACCUACGGGUGAAAGCAGGGGAUCUUCGGACCUUGCGCGAUUGAAUGCGCCGAUGACGGAUUAGCUAGUUGGGGGGGUAAAGGCCCACAAAGGCGACGAUCCGUAGCUGGUCUGAGAGGAUGAUCAGCCACACUGGAACUGAGACACGGUCCAGACUCCUACGGGAGGCAGCAGUGGGGAAUAUUGGACAAUGGGCGCAAGCCUGAUCCAGCCAUACCGCGUGGGUGAAGAAGGCCUUCGGGUUGUAAAGCCCUUUUGUUGGGAAAGAAAUCCAGCUGGCUAAUACCCGGUUGGGAUGACGGUACCCAAAGAAUAAGCACCGGCUAACUUCGUGCCAGCCGCCGCCGUAA
rnacentral:rRNA from 1 species